rnacentral:lncRNA from 1 species
GAUAUAGACUAUCUCAUCGUCGUCGUGUCUGGCAUGAUGGCUAGUUUGUCUUCCACAGUUAAGCCCGCAUGUCUAGCCAUUAGAGGAACGAUCACAAUCACCGGCUCUAAGUUCCGCUCGAGCUGCCCCUGUGUCAGAUAUGAAUGAUCGAGAUUGUACACAUAUAUCGUCGAAUUAGGGAACACGAUCUCUAGUAUAAUGCAGUGCUGAUUCAUGAUCACUGGAAUGUAUAUAUGCGUACAACCCCCCAUGGCUUUCUCCUAAAACUCGGUAACAGCCUGAUGACCCACUUGAGCAUGUACGCGGGCAGCACUUACUUGUUACCCAGAAGUUGGAGGGACUGAUACUCAAUGGUAACGGCACGGAAGAACUCGGUGUUCAGUAUUAUUCGACCAGGCUUGUGGAAUGACUGUGGAUAUUUCUCAACUCGAUCGCACAAGUCGAUGUGCUACAUCAAGGAAAACAAAGAAAUAAAUACUUAUUUCAUUUAACAAAUUAAACAUAAUGUAUACAAAAAGUAACAAUAACACUUCACUUACAUCGUCGGCGAGUUAAGCCCCCUGAGUGGUGAUAUUAUGAAACCACUUGUAUGCGUCUGAUAUCAUCAUUCCGGCUAUCAUGUGCGUGGCUCUGAAAAUAAAAUAGAGAAAAUGUUAAACGAAACAUAUACGAGUUCUGGUAGUUUACUAAAUCAUACAAUACUUACCCGGGCAACAUUCUUCGUUACUCAGUCUCCAAUGCUUUACACUUGGCAUGGUUAACCUCCCGGAACAGAUUGGGAUACGUUUUGUCGACGAAUCUCCUCCUCUUCGUCUCAGCCAUGAAGGGAGAGACGAUGUACUGUGAC